UCUCCGUAGGUGAACCUGCGGAGGGAUCAUUACCGAGUGAGGGUCCUCGCGGCCCGACCUCCAACCCCCUGUCUUCCGACUCUGUUGCCUCGGGGGCGACCCGGCCUUCGGGCGUCGGGGCCCCGGGUGGACCAUUCAAACACUGCAUCUUUGCGUCUGAGUACACGAUUGAAUCAAUCAAAACUUUCAACAACGGAUCUCUUGGUUCUGGCAUCGAUGAAGAACGCAGC
rnacentral:misc_RNA from 1 species